GGCACGUCCCCCCAGGGUUCGCUCAAGUCGGUUCCUCCUCCUCCAGCUGCUGAUGCUGCACGAGGGUUCGCCCGGAGGGGCACAGCUUAGGGCGGUCGGUCCAACGUGGUGCAGAGAAACGUGUAGUUUGCCCUUGCGUGCGUGCCUCGUCGGUCCCGGAUGCUUUGGGACCCGGACCUGUACGAGCUGAAGUACGAAACCCCAUCCUUUUGCCCUGUGAAAGGUCGUACAAGUGAUAACAGAUGUGCAACAAAAAUCAUCCUUGAGUUUUUCUAUACGUUUUCCUUUGGAAGCACAGCAACGCUUCUAUAUUAAAAAAAACAAAAACAAAAACGAUACUGGUAUCUGAAGUAAUGGAAAGUCUGCUUUCCAAAGAUUGGUGAAAUCGCCAGCAUUCACGAUUUAGUUGAAACCCCGAUUUCAAGGAGUCAGUACGUACUUGAAAUAAUUGGUGGUGGUUCAAGAACACUGGUGAUGUAUACAUGUAUGGAAAUGUCUCGGUGAAACCCAUUAAUUUGUACAAAUAAUAGGUGUUAAUUACAGUAAGAAUAAACAGCUGGUUCCUAGAGUGUGUCACAGAGGUUAGAAAGCCACUUAGCAACCCAGUUUUGCCUGAAAAUUCACACUUUAGUGUCCUGAUUUAGUGUGUGUGUGUGUCCCACUCUUUCUGUCAUUUAAAAACUAGUGUGUGUAUGUUUGUUUUACCUGCCUGUAUGUCUGCCUUUCGAGGCCAGAAGGAAGUGCCAGGAUCCCCUGGAACUGGAGUUAGGGAAGAUUGUGGGCUACCACAUGGGUGCUGGGGAA